GAUGAACGCUGGCGGCGUGCCUAAUACAUGCAAGUCGAGCGAACAGAUGAGGAUCUUGCUCCUCGCACGUUAGCCGCGGACGUGUGAGUAACACGUGUAUAACCUACCUGUAAGACGGGUAUAACUUGGGGAAACCGGAUCUAAUACCAGAGAAUAUAUUGAACCGCAGUGUUCAAUAGUGAAAGACGGUGUUUCGGUCAGGUAUAGAUGGAUCCCGGCCGCAUUGGCUAGUUGGUAAGGUAACGGCUUAUCAAGGGAACGAUGCGUGGCCGAACUGAGGGGGUGAUCGGCCGCACUGGAAGUGAGCCAGGGUCAAGACUACUGCGGGAGGCAGCAGUCGGGAACGUUACGCAAUGGGCGAAAGCAUGACGGAGCAAGGCCGAGUGAGUGAUGACGGUCUUCGGAUCGUAAAGAUGUGUUAUUAGGGAAGAACAACUGUGUAAGUAAACAUGGACGUAUUGACGGUAACUAAUAAGAAAGCAACGGCUAACUACGUG
rnacentral:rRNA from 1 species